CUGUUUAGUUAUUAUUGUGAUUGAAUUCUAGAUUUGUUGCUUUGGGGGAAUGUAUUAAAUAUCAUUUUUGAAUGCCACUUUGCAUUGCAGAUUACUGAUAUCUGCUCAAAUUUCACAUUAAAUGACUGGUGGAGAAAGAGCACGUUUGAACGAUAUUUUGUUCUUGUUACUGCAAUUAAUAAUGCGACUGCAUAUUCUUAAGAUGACCCUUGUAAUUAUUUAUUUUUCUGAGUCUAGAUCAAGAAAAAGAAAACGUGCGAAUGGUGUAUUAAAAUAUGAAAUAGUAAGUAGAGUACCUGACCAAAUUAAGCAUUUGCGUCGGAUGAUAGGUACCAAUGACAUAGAUUGCAUUGUCAAUUUGCGUAUGGACCGUAACACAUUUGGGCGGUUGUGCCACAUAUUAAAGGAACUAGGGGGUUUAGUCGAGGGUCGCUAUGUGAGUGUCUAAGAACAAGUAGCUAUGUUCUUGUCUGUCCUAGCACAUCAUAAAAAAAUAGGGUUGUAAGAUUUGAUUUUUGGAGGUCUGGGCAGACCAUCUCGCAUUACGUACAUGCUGUAUUAGGUGCAAUUUUGAAGUUGCACCAAUUAUUUCUAUCUAAACCCAAGGUUGUUCCCGAUGAUUGCACAGAUCCAAGGUGGCAAUGGUUUAAGGGCUGUCUAGGGGCAUUAGACGGCACAUAUAUUAAUGUGACGGUGAGCAAUAAUGAGAAACCACGAUAUAGAACAAGGAAAGGGCAGAUUUCAACUAAUGUUUUAGGUGUAUGCGAUCGGGAUAUGAAGUUUGUUUACAUUCUAUCUGGUUGGGAAGGUUCUGCCGCAGAUUCCAGAAUACUAAGGGACGCCCUUAAUAGACCCCACGGUUUUAAAGUUCCUAAGGGAAAUUAUUAUUUGUGUGACAAUGGUUACGCAAACAGUGAUGGUUUUCUAACGCCAUACAAAGGAGUUAAAUACCACCUGAAGGAGUGGGGUCCAACCGCUGCCAGGCCCCAAAACAAGGAAGAGUUGUUUAACUUAAGGCAUAGCAAGGCCCGGAAUGUGAUAGAGAGGGCGUUCGGACUAAUGAAAAUGCGUUGGGGUAUUUUGCG